rnacentral:rRNA from 1 species
AAUCCAUAGGUUAAUGAGGCGAACCGGGGGAACUGAAACAUCUAAGUACCCCGAGGAAAAGAAAUCAACCGAGAUUCCCCCAGUAGCGGCGAGCGAACGGGGAGGAGCCCAGAGCCUGAAUCAGCAUGUGUGUUAGUGGAAGCGUCUGGAAAGGCGCGCGAUACAGGGUGACAGCCCCGUACACAAAAGCGCAUGUGCUGUGAGCUCGAUGAGUAGGGCGGGACACGUGGUAUCCUGUCUGAAUAUGGGGGGACCAUCCUCCAAGGCUAAAUACUCCUGACUGACCGAUAGUGAACCAGUACCGUGAGGGAAAGGCGAAAAGAACCCCGGCGAGGGGAGUGAAAAAGAACCUGAAACCGUGUACGUACAAGCAGUGGGAGCCCCACCACCAAAGCAUUCUCUGGUGUUGAAGGCCCUGCAAAGCAGCAUCGCGGUGGCGGAGCGUC